rnacentral:rRNA from 1 species
GACGAACGCUGGCGGCGUGCCUAAUACAUGCAAGUCGAACGCAGUUGCGAACGGGUGAGUAACGCGUAGGUAACUGCCUCAUAGCGGGGGAUAACUAUUGGAAACGAUAGCUAAUACCCCCUACUGUGAGAUGUACCUGCGUUGUAUUAGCUAGUUGGUGUGGUAAAGGUUCACCAAGGCGACGAUACAUUGCCGGCCUGCGAGGGUGAUCGGCCAAUCUGGGACUGAGAAACGGCCCCAACUCCUACGGGAGGCAGGAGUUGGGAAUCUUCGGCAAAUGACCGAAUUCUGAACGAGCAACGGCGCGUGAGUGAAGAAGGUUUUAGGAUCGUAAAGCUCUGUUGUGUGAGAAGCGGUACCUAAACAGAAAGGAACGGCUAACUCCGUGCCAGCAGCCGCGGUAAUAC